AACGAACGCUGGCGGCAGGCCUAACACAUGCAAGUCGAGCGCGCCCUUCGGGGUGAGCGGCGGACGGGUGCGUAACGCGUGGGAACGUGCCCUUCUCUGCGGAAUAGCCUCGGGAAACUGAGAGUAAUACCGCAUACGCCCUUUGGGGGAAAGAUUUAUCGGAGAAGGAUCGGCCCGCGUUGGAUUAGGUAGUUGGUGGGGUAAUGGCCCACCAAGCCGACGAUCCAUAGCUGGUUUGAGAGGAUGAUCAGCCACACUGGGACUGAGACACGGCCCAGCCUCCUACGGGAGGCAGCAGUGGGGAAUCUUAGACAAUGGGGGCAACCCUGAUCUAGCCAUGCCGCGUGAGUGAUGAAGGCCUUAGGGUUGUAAAGCUCUUUCAGCUGGGAAGAUAAUGACGGUACCAGUAGAAGAAGCCCCGGCUAACUCCGUG
rnacentral:rRNA from 1 species